rnacentral:rRNA from 1 species
UACGGAGGGUGCAAGCGUUAUCCGGAUUUAUGGGGUUUAAAGGGUGCGUAGGUGGACUAAUAAGUCAGUGGUGAAAGCCCGCAGCUUAACUGCGGAACUGCCAUUGAUACUGUUAGUCUUGAGUACAGUUGAGGUGGGCGGAAUGUGUCAUGUAGCGGUGAAAUGCUUAGAUAUGACACAGAACACCGAUUGCGAAGGCAGCUCACUAAGCUGUAACUGACACUGAGGCACGAAAGUGUGGGUAGCAAACAGG